UCUGGCAGGAAUGAGACUCUCAGCCUCGCUGAGAGUGCUGUUCAGUAAUGAGAGCGUUUUGAAGUACUUGCUCUGAGCGAGG
rnacentral:snoRNA from 1 species